UACGUAGGGUGCAAGCGUUGUCCGGAAUUAUUGGGCGUAAAGAGCUCGUAGGCGGUUUGUCGCGUCUGCUGUGAAAACUCGGGGCUUAACCCCGGGCCUGCAGUGGGUACGGGCAGACUAGAGUGCGGUAGGGGAGACUGGAAUUCAUGGUGUAGCAGUGAAAUGCGUAGAGAUCAUGAGGAAGACCAGUGGCGAAGGCGGGGUCUCUGGACAGUUCCUGACACUGAGACACGAAGGCCAGGGGAGCAAAACGGGG
rnacentral:rRNA from 1 species